rnacentral:lncRNA from 1 species
UCUGAAAAUUUUAUGGUGGAAAGGUAUCUGAGUCUUUUUCAAAGACAUCAAGCAAAUUUUAAUUUGGAAUUUUGUAGCUUAAGAUAUAAAUAAUUUAGUAACAGUGACUCAAGUAGACAGCUUUGAAGGAACACAUAAGUAAAUAGUGAAAACAUAUAUGAAUAUUUAGCUAGCACGAGUUACAUUAAAAAUGGAUCACGC